AACUAUAAAUCUAACCAAAAACGCAGGGUCAUAAGUCAUAACUUCCGCUUGAGGUCAUAAACCCAGUACAUUUCUCGGCUUGAUUCCCGCCGGCGCGAUCAUGUACCGGUCUUCGAGCUCCGGCCGGCUCUCUCAGUCUUCCCCACGCUCGUCUCUAUUGCCUGCACGUUCCUCUCCGAAUCUCAAAUUAACGUUAGCCGGCGAGCUGCCCACGUACAACCCCCGAUCUUAUCUCUCCACGAAAGAGAGAGACCGGCUAAGAUUUGCGGAGAACGCCGUCCAUCUCAUCCCACUCAUACUCGUCUUGUCUGUUAUCGUAUUGUGGCUUUUCUCUGAUCCAGAUUCAGUUGUGAUGUGAAUGAUAGUAGAUUCAAUGGUGCAGUGGAAAGAGCAGAUUGUUAUCAAAGUUGGAGCUGGAGGACACUGACCAUAGAUUCAGUAGGUAAGGACUGUGCUGGAUGACAUAGAGGCCCUACUAUGCAUUUCGAUAGACUUCUUGUUUGUACUCUUUUACUACUUUGCUUCUUAUUGAGCUCAAAGGCUUAUUACACGGAGGAGUAGUAUAUGAUUCAUUGUUAUUAAAAACACAAUUUUUCUUUUACUUCCUUUGGAAAGUUUUGCCUUUGGGUUUUAGUAGCCAGAAAGAGGCGGGAAUCUAUAUACUCUCUCUGUAUCCAUCUUUUGUAGUUUGGAAGUCUAUGUACAGCUGCAAUAAUACUAAACCAAAUUGAAA